GCCAUUGUAGCUCAGUGGUAGAGCACCUGCUUUGCAUGCUAAAGGUCCCAGGUUCAAUCCCUGGUGUCUCCAGGUA